GAUGAACGCUGGCGGCGUGCUUAACACAUGCAAGUCGAACGGAAAGGCCCUGCUUUCGUGCUGUGCUCGAUUGCCGCUCGGGUGCGUAACACGUGCGUAUCCUCCCCUUGACUUUGGGAUAACUUUAGGAAACUGGGGCUCAUACCAGAUAGGAGCUCCUGCUGCAUGGUGGAGGAUGUAAAGUUUCGGCGGUUGGGGAUGGGCUCGCGGCUUAUCAGCUUGUUGGUGGGGUAGUGGCUUACCAAGGCUUUGACGGGUAGUCGGCCUGAGAGGGGGACCGGGCACAUGGGGACUGAGAUACGGGCCAGACUACUACGGGAGACAGGGGUGGGGAAUAGUGCACAAUGGGGGGAAGUCGGGUGCAGCACCGCCGCGUGCGGGAUGACGGCCUUCUGGUUGGAAACCGCUUUCGCCUGUGACGAAGAGGGAGUGACGGUAAUGGGUAAAGAAGCACCGGCUAACUACGUG
rnacentral:rRNA from 1 species